AUUCGCUAUAUUGCCUCGCAUGAGCUUUGCCGUAACCACAUUUUGCCGUCCAACUUUCUUGGGCCGGAUCUAGUUGGAGAAGCCCAGCCCUGUAUCCAAGUAGAGCCGAGAGCAGAGCCGUAGAGCAGUGGCGUGUACACGCGGAGCUACCGAGAGCCACAAGCUGGAAGCAAGUGAGCUGAGCGCAGGCGGGCGGACGCAAUGAUGAUGGUGGUGGCGACUGCGAGCCCCGGCGGGCCGGAGGCGCUGCAGGUGCGCGAGGUCGAGGAUCUCUCGGCGCCGGGGGAGGGCAAGCUGCUUGUCAGGGUGGCCGCUGCCGGCGUCAAUCGCGACGACACGGUCCAGCGGCAGGGCCGGUACUCGCCGCCGUCUGGCGCCUCGCCCUACCCGGGGCUUGAGUGCUCCGGCACCAUCGUCGCACUCGGGGCCAACGCCCCCCGCGCUGGGCCGUCGACACCAGCAUUUGCAGGUGUACACGCUGCUUACCGGCGGCGGGUAUGCGGAGAAGGUUGUGGUUCCGGCGGGGCAGCUUCUACCGACGACAGAGGGGGGGUUGCUGACUGACAGCCGCCAGCUUGCGCGAGGUGGCCUGCACCGUCUGGUCCACCGUCUUCAUGCCAGUCCCCUCUCCCCCGGUGAAUCCUUCCUUAUCCAUGGUGGAUCUAGUGGAAUUAGUACAUUCACUAUACAGAAUGCAAAACACCUUGGAAAUGUACACACAUGAGACAUCAUUCUUUGUAAGUAACAGUAGCAGCAAAAAUCUGCUAGUUCUAAAUUUGAAGGUUGCAAAUGUAUACAUUCAGAUACACCGAUCGAUGUGUUAAUGUUGCAGAGACAACAUCUCUACUGCUCUGGCACUUUUGAGUGUCUGCACCAACCUUUAGGAAUUGCAGCUGGGCUAAAGAAAAGCUAAAUAACAAACCACGAAAUUCAGAUGGAAUUUCCGACAUCAGAGACACGUAUUUUGUUAAUCAGGUGCUGAAGAAACAAUCAAUCCUCUCCGCUUGAAGGUAGGUUAUGCACACAGAUUUGUUCUUACCUUGCAAGCAUCGUUGGACGAAGACAGUAGGCAUGAUCAUGGACAAACGCAGUGAGUGCUCAACCCAUCUGUGCAUAUGCUGCACUUCAUGCCCCCGUUCCGCUGCCAUCCUUAUUUUGCCUCUCCUGGAUCUGGCUCCCCAGAGUGUCGUCUUGCUGUCCCUCCCCAGGUUGCCUCGAUCUUGCAGGAGAGGAGCACGGGAGGGCGGUGGCUGGAGUCGGCAGUGGCUGAAGGGAACGCUUGAGAAGGGGAUGCAAUGGAACUGUGAAGGGCGGGUCGGCGAGGAAUCCCGCACAGCGCGACACAUGGGCGAGCAGCGAAGGAGGUUUGGGGUGGCGCCCGAAAAUAUUGGAAGGGGAUGGGGAGGUGGCGGAUGGUUGGAGAAGAAGACCGGCCGCGCGGCCGCGCAUGGCGGCGGCGGCUGUGCCGUACCCGUACGCGAGGAGGAGAGCCCGUGGUCGUGCAUGUGUGUGGUCUUUGUUUAGCAAUUCAAAAUAGCACUGCGGGUAGAAUAAUAAACAAUGCAGGGAUCUUUUUGUAAGUACGAAACGUUUUUUCGAUUGACCACUUAAAAUAGGACUGUAGGUUGAAUUCUUAGAAACAGAGGGACUUUUUUGCAAAAUCGCUAGCGACGACGACCAGAAACCCAAUUCUCUUUAUUAUUAGGUUAUUAUUAGGGAAAGAAAAGACUAGCGUGCUUAAACCUGCACACUGAAGCUAUCUUUUGGAGAUUAUUUUGUCUGCCAUGUGUAAUUUUGGUUGAUGUUUAGCCUGUUGUGCUUAACAUGCUUCUUGAUGUACCUACACAGGACAAUUUUGGGAA